rnacentral:rRNA from 1 species
GGCCGCGCGCACCCUCCCUUUACUUAUUACACGCCGGGGGCCGCCGCCCGCGGUCGCUUCCCUCCUCCCCGGGGCGGUGCCGUGAAUCUCCGAAACCUACGACCACCGCACACGACAUCCACCGGUUUUUCACAAUCGGCUCCAGGGCAGCCCCACCCAUAUAUUUAUUCAUUCGUCGGAGCUUGUCGCAAAUUCCUCCUCCACCUGGCCGAGCAGAGGCCGCCGAAAACCC